UUUUGUGCUUGCACAAAACGGGAACCGGCGAACGGGUGCGUAACACGUAUGCAACCUACCUAUAACUGGGGGAUAGCCCGAAGAAAUUCGGAUUAAUACCCUAUAAUAUUUACACACCGCAUGGUGAGUAUCUUAAAACUCCGGUGGUUAUAGAUGGGCAUGCGGCUUAUUAGUUUGUUGGUGAGGUAACGGCUCACCAAGACUACGAUAAGUAGGGGGUCUGAGAGGAUGAUCCCCCACACUGGUACUGAGACACGGACCAGACUCCUACGGGAGGCAGCAGUAGGGAAUAUUGGACAAUGGACGAAAGUCUGAUCCAGCCAUGCCGCGUGCAGGAUGACGGCCCUAUGGGUUGUAAACUGCUUUUAUAUAGGAAGAAACCCUCGCUCGUGAGCGAGGCUGACGGUACUAUACGAAUAAGGACCGGCUAACUCCGUGCCAGCAGCCGCGGUAAUACGGAGGGUCCAAGCGUUGUCCGGAUUUAUUGGGUUUAAAGGGUACGUAGGCGGGACUUUAAGUCAGUGGUGAAAGCCUCCAGCUUAACUGGAGAAUUGCCAUUGAAACUGAAGUUCUUGAGUAUGGAUGAGGUGGUUGGAAUAUAACAUGUAGCGGUGAAAUGCAUAGAUAUGUUAUAGAACACCAAUUGCGAAGGCAGAUCACUAAACCAUUACUGACGCUGAGGUACGAAAGCGUGGGGAGCGAACAGGAUUAGAUACCCUGGUAGUCCACGCCGUAAACGAUGUUCACUCGCUGUUGGCGAUAUACUGUCAGCGGCCAAGCGAAAGCAUUAAGUGAACCACCUGGGGAGUACGAUCGCAAGGUUGAAACUCAAAGGAAUUGGCGGGGGCCCGCACAAGCGGUGGAGCAUG
rnacentral:rRNA from 1 species